AGGGUUGUAGUUAAACAUAACAUUUGAUUUGCAUUCGAAAAGUAUUGAAUUAUCAAUCUACCUUA
rnacentral:tRNA from 1 species